AACGAACGCUGGCGGCGUGCCUAACACAUGCAAGUCGAACGGAAUGAGGGGGCUUGCUCCUUCAUUUAGUGGCGCACGGGUGAGUAACGCGUAGAUAAUCUGCCUGAUGAUCUGGGAUAACAUCUCGAAAGGGGUGCUAAUACCGGAUAAGCCCACGGGGACUUUGGUCUUUGCGGGAAAAGGGGGGGACCUUUUGGCCUUCUGUCAUCAGAUGAGUCUGCGUACCAUUAGCUAGUUGGUAGGGUAAAGGCCUACCAAGGCUACGAUGGUUAGCUGGUUUGAGAGAAUGAUCAGCCACACUGGAACUGAGACACGGUCCAGACUCCUACGGGAGGCAGCAGUGGGGAAUUUUGCGCAAUGGGCGAAAGCCUGACGCAGCAACGCCGCGUGAGUGAUGAAGGCUUUCGGGUCGUAAAGCUCUGUCAGGGGGAAAGAAGUGUAUUGUGGCUAAUAUCCACGAUACUUGACGGUACCCCCAAAGGAAGCACCGGCUAACUCCGUGCCAGCCGCCGCCGUAAAAC
rnacentral:rRNA from 1 species